AUUGAACGCUGGCGGCAUGCCUUACACAUGCAAGUCGAACGGCAGCACGGGAGCUUGCUCCUGGUGGCGAGUGGCGAACGGGUGAGUAAUACAUCGGAACGUACCCAGGAGUGGGGGAUAACGUAGCGAAAGUUACGCUAAUACCGCAUAUUCUGUGAGCAGGAAAGCGGGGGGUCGCAAGACCUCGCGCUCUUGGAGCGGCCGAUGUCGGAUUAGCUAGUUGGUGAGGUAAAAGCUCACCAAGGCGACGAUCCGUAGCAGGUCUGAGAGGAUGAUCGGCCACACUGGGACUGAGACACGGCCCAGACUCCUACGGGGGGCAACAGUGGGGAAUUUUGGACAAUGGUGGCAACCCUGAUCCAGCCAUGCCGCGUGAGUGAAGAAGGCCUUCGGGUUGUAAAGCUCUUUCGGCGGGGAAGAAAUGGCAACGGCUAAUAUCCGUUGUUGAUGACGGUACCCGCAUAAGAAGCACCGGCUAACUACGUGCCAGCAGCCGCAGUAAAAC
rnacentral:rRNA from 1 species